rnacentral:SRP_RNA from 1 species
CUUGGGAAGCUCUAAGAAUCGAUAUGCUUUAUUUUGUCAGGUCCGAGAGGAAGCAGCAAGGGGUAUAUUGGUUUUGUAGGCUUCCCUUUUUU